rnacentral:rRNA from 1 species
AACAAACGCUGGCGGCGUGCCUAACACAUGCAAGUCGUACGAGAAAGGGUCCUUCGGGGCCUGAGUAAAGUGGCGCACGGGCGAGUAACGCGUGGAUAAUCUGCCCUUCAGUUGGGAAUAACUCAUCGAAAGGUGGGCUAAUACCGAAUAAUGCUGUGAGACCUCGGUUGAACAGCCAAAGAGAGCCUCUGCUUGCAAGCCCUCGCUGAAGGAUGGGUCCGCGUACCAUUAGCUAGUUGGUAGGGUAAUGGCCUACCAAGGCGACGAUGGUUAGCUGGUCUGAGAGGAUGAUCAGCCACACUGGAACUGAGACACGGUCCAGACUCCUACGGGAGGCAGCAGUGAGGAAUCUUGCGCAAUGGGGGCAACCCUGACGCAGCAACGCCGCGUGAGUGAGGAAGGUCUUCGGAUCGUAAAGCUCUGUCGGAUGGAAAGAACCGCAUAGGGGUAAACAGCCCCUGUGUCUGACGGUACCAUCAAAGGAAGCACCGGCUAACUCCGUGCCAGCAGCCGCCGUAACAC